AGCCACACCCGCCUGGGGGCUGCAGGUGUUCCAGAUCAGGGCUGAGUAGACCCUGGAAGAGGGAAGGGGAUCCGGCCUGGCAGGCUGGAGAGAGGCCAGCUGAGGUGCCCGCUCUCUGGGGGCAGGUGUCAGCAUGGGGCACCCCCAGGAGGGAGAAGCAUGACUGCCACUUGUGUCCGUCCAGAGACAUCCUGUGUGAGUCACUGUCUUGGCCCCAAUGGCCCUGCAAUGAUUCCGAACUUUGACCCCUGCCCAUCCAGCACGGGUGGAGCAGGAGGCUCUGUCAACAG